AAGUCGUAACAAGGUUUCCGUAGGUGAACCUGCGGAAGGAUCAUUAUGAGAUUAAGAGAAUAUGUUAAAUUGUGAAGAGUGUGAGUGUGGAGUGAGAUUGCUGGGGGUGAAUGAAAGAUUGAUUACCUGGGGGUAAUUGAUAGAUUUUACCUCGGGGGGCGACACACAUACACACACACAAAAUAACAAGAACGAUUAUGGGAUGGAUGAAAAAAAAAAAGGUGAUUUUUAUAUUACCAUCACAAAAUAACAACUUUUAACAAUGGAUCUCUAGGCUCUU
rnacentral:misc_RNA from 1 species